rnacentral:lncRNA from 1 species
GAAAACCUCAGCGUUCUCUUCAGCGACCUUCGUCUCAACGACGAACCGCGCUACUUCGGCGAGGACCUCGACGUUGAGGCGCUCUGCGCCAGCUUCAGCAGGCUCUCUAUCGCCGAGAUGCCUGCCCACGAUGUUUACCCCAGUAACGUCCUCAUCUUCAACGACCCUUCUGUUGGAAAUAUGCCCUAGAGGCAAUAAUAAUUAGUUAUUAUUAUAUUUCUUUGUUCAUGAUAAUCGUUUAUUAUCCAUGCUAUAAUUGUAUUGAUUGGAAACACAAUACUUGUGUGGAUACAUAGACAAAACACUGUCCCUAGUAAGCCUCUAGUUGACUAGCUCGUUGAUCAAAGAUGGUCAAGGUUUCCUGGCCAUAGGCAAGUGUUGUUACUUGAUAACGGGAUCACAUCAUUAGGAGAAUCAUGUGAUGGACUAGACCCAAACUAAUAGACGUAGCAUGUUGAUCGUGUCAUUUUGUUGCUACUGUUUUCUGCGUGUCAAGUAUUUGUUCCUAUGACCAUGAGAUCAUAUAACUCACUGACACCAGAGGAAUGCUUUGUGUGUAUCAAACGUCGCAACGUAACUGGGUGACUAUAAAGAUGCUCUACAGGUAUCUCCGAAGGUGUUCGUUGAGUUAGUAUGGAUCAAGACUGGGAUUUGUCACUCCGUAUGACGGAGAGGUAUCUCGGGGCCCACUCGGUAAUACAACAUCACACACAAGCCUUGCAAGCAAUGUGACUUAGUGUAAGUUGCGAGAUCUUGUAUUACGGAACAAGUAAAGAGACUUGCCGNNNNNNNNNNNNNNNNNNNNNNNNNNNNNNNNNNNNNNNNNNNNNNNNNNNNNNNNNNNNNNNNNNNNNNNNNNNNNNNNNNNNNNNNNNNNNNNNNNNNNNNNNNNNNNNNNNNNNNNNNNNNNNNNNNNNNNNNNNNNNNNNNNNNNNNNNNNNNNNNNNNNNNNNNNNNNNNNNNNNNNNNNNNNNNNNNNNNNNNNNNNNNNNNNNNNNNNNNNNNNNNNNNNNNNNNNNNNNNNNNNNNNNNNNNNNNNNNNNNNNNNNNNNNNNNNNNNNNNNNNNNNNNNNNNNNNNNNNNNNNNNNNNNNNNNNNNNNNNNNNNNNNNNNNNNNNNNNNNNNNNNNNNNNNNNNNNNNNNNNNNNNNNNNNNNNNNNNNNNNNNNNNNNNNNNNNNNNNNNNNNNNNNNNNNNNNNNNNNNNNNNNNNNNNNNNNNNNNNNNGAUCUUCGUAGAAUAUGGAGGAUCCAAUAUGGGCAUCCAGGUCCCGCUAUUGGAUAUUGACCGAGGAGUCACUCGGGUCAUGUCUACAUAGUUCUCGAACCCGCAGGCUCUGCACACUUGCACACUUAAGGUUCGACGUUGUUUUAUGCGUAUUUGAGUUAUAUGGUUGGUUGCCGAAUGUUGUUCGGAGUCCCGGAUGAGAUCACGGACGUCACGAAGGUUUCCAGAAUGGUUCGAAAACGAAGAUUGAUAUAUAGGAUGACCUCAUUUGAUUACCGGAAGGUUUUUGGAGUUACUGGGAAUGUACCGGGAAUGACGAAUGGGUUCCGGGAGUUCACCGGGGGGGGGGGCAACCCACCCCGGGGAAGCCCAUAGGCCUUGAGGGUGGCACACCAGCCCUUAGUGGGCUGGUGGGGCAGCCCAAAAGGGCCCUAUGCGCCUAGGAAAGAAAAUCAAAGAGAAAANNNNNNNNNNNNNNNNNNNNNNNNNNNNNNNNNNNNNNNNNNNNNNNNNNNNNNNNNNNNNNNNNNNNNNNNNNNNNNNNNNNNNNNNNNNNNNNNNNNNNNNNNNNNNNNNNNNNNNNNNNNNNNNNNNNNNNNNNNNNNNNNNNNNNNNNNNNNNNNNNNNNNNNNNNNNNNNNNNNNNNNNNNNNNNNNNNNNNNNNNNNNNNNNNNNNNNNNNNNNNNNNNNNNNNNNNNNNNNNNNNNNNNNNNNNGGGGAAGCCCAUAGGCCUUGGGGGUGGUGCACCAGCCCUUGGUGGGCUGGUGGGACAGCCCAAGAAGGCCCUAUGCGCCAUAGAAAGAAAAUCAAAGAGAAAAGAGAAAAAAAGGAGGUGGGAAAGGAGAGAAGGACUCCACCUUCCAAUCCUAGUUGGACUAGGAUUGGAGGAGGACUCCUCCUCCCUUGGUGGCGCAGCCCUUGGGGCUCCUUGAGCCUCCAGGCAAGCCUCCCCUCCCUCCUCCUAUAUAUAUGGAGCAAUUAGGGCUGAUUUGACACAACUUUUCAAGGCAGCCCGACCACAUACCUCCACGAUUUUACCUCUAGAUCGCAUUUCUGCGGAGCUCGAGCGGAGCCCUGCUGAGAUUAGAUCACCACCAACCUCCGUAACGCCGUCACACUGCCGGUGAACUCAUCUACCUCUCCGUCUCUCUUGCUGGAUCAAGAAGGCCGAGAUCAUCGUCGAGCUGUAUGUGUGCUGAACGCGGAGGUGCCGUCCGUUCGGCACUAGAUCGUGGGACGGAUCGCGGGACGGUUCGCGGGGCGGACCGAGGGACGGGAGGACGUUCCACUACAUCAACCGCGUUUCUUAACGCUUCUGCUAUGCGAUCUACAAGGGUACGUAGAUCGGAAAUCCCCUCUCGUAGAUGGACAUCACCAUGAUAGGUCUUCGUGCGCGUAGGAAAUUUUUUUCUUCCCAUGCGACGUUCCCCAACACCUUCGCCGUCGGUGGGGUUCUUCACCCCAUACCACGUUGCUGCCAUCUCCAACACCGUGGAGGUGAUGGUUAUCGGCGUUGGCACCAGUACGGCUCCCGGAAAGGCCUCCGGAGGCGCUGGUGAGCCCGCCGCGGCCACCGCCGAUACUCUUCGGGACACCAUCGCCGGACUAAAGACACCUGUCACCAGCUCCGCCGACCCUGCAAACGCUCGGGCCUCGUUGGAGGAGGCUCGCGAGCAUAUCUUGGAGGAGGGCAUCGCCGUAGCUUCGGCGAAACGUCGGUUGGAGGCUACGCAGUGCGAGUAUAACUCCGCAUACGGUCUCACUCCGAUUUCCGAGGCCCCUAGCCGGCUUGGAUCGGUCCGCAGCUGCGGCCGGUUCAUCGCCGAGGUUCUAGGCGGUGAUCUGCCCACCUACGAGACUCCUGCGGCCAACAUGCGAGCGGCGCAGGCAACCAUGGAGGAGAUGGCCAGCCUGGAUGGCGAGGAGCGCGCCUUCCAGGAGAAGCGUGUCAAGGAUCUCCUUGACGCCGCCAACCAGCAACACGCUCGGCUUGACCCCGGUCAGGCUCAAUCGGAGUCCCCGGGACCGAACUCAGGGGCACGCCGCAAUCCUAGCGGCCAGCACCACGUAGAAGGAUCUUCCUCGCAUCGCCCUUCCGGGCGGAGGGGCGAGGGAAGCCAAGACCGGCGCUCUCAGCGCCAGAGCGAGCACACUUCGGGCUUGCGUCGCGGAGGCGACGAGGGCGAUUCGGAGUGUGAGGUUCUCCCCCCGCGAAGAACUCACGUCUCUGGCUCACGAGGCGCCUCCCCUCUCGCCACCGGGGCUGGCGCCCACGCCACCCAGGAUGAGCGGGAUGCCCGUCGGCGUCUCAUCGUCCUCGCCCAGUCAGCCCUCCUAGAGGAAGACGAACCCGUCGGUCUGGCAUGCUUCGGCCCCCGGAUCCGAGGGGAGCCGUUCCCCCGAGGUUUCAACUUACCUCGGGAUACGCCGAAAUACAACGACACGGCCAAGCCAGAAGACUGGCUGAUUGAUUAUACCACGGCCGUAGGCAUCGCCAGGGGCAACAAGCGCGUAGCAGUUCGCUACGUGCCACUCAUGUUGGCCGGCUCGGCCCGAACUUGGCUUAACAGCCUCCCGGCCGGCAGUGUCAACUCCUGGGUGGACUUCGAGGAGGCGUUCGUCCGCAACUUCACCGGCACCUACAAGCGCCCUGGCCAGCCCCGCGAGCUGGCUAUGUGCGUCCAGAAGGCCGACGAACCCCUUCGCGACUACGUCACCCGGUGGACUGAGCUCUGCAACUCCUGCGAGGGGUGCAUGAGGUACAAGCCAUCCAGUACUUCAUUGACGGUUGCCGAGACGGCACCCUCCUCAAGCACAAGCUCAUGUGCGCCGAGCCCACCUCUUUGGCGGUGCUCAUGGCCUAGGCAGACAAGUACUCCACGGCCGACUCCACAAUGCGCAUCAAGGUGACCGCCUCGGACAAGGUUGUGCCUACGCGGGCUACUCCCAAGCCGGCUGGGGACAACCGAGGCGGCCAGAACAACUACAAGCGCAAGGCGGAUCAGAUGGAUCCCCGCUCCAACAGCAAGUUGGUGGCCAAUGUGGAGGGCGAGGCGUCGGCUUCUCAAGCCGGCCCUCCACGAAAGCGUCCCAAUCGGAGCAACCCCAACUGGCUGCCCAAGCAGUCCUUCGAGCAGCUGCUCGACGCCCCCUGCAAGAUACAUUCUGGGGAGACGCCGUCUUCCCAUACCCUUCGACAGUGCAACGUUGCGCGCCGGCUGUCGCAAGGGGAUGGCAUGCCGGCUCCUCCGGGUGCACAUGCGGCGGCCCGUGCGGCGGCUCCCAACCACGCUCUGCCUCCGCCACCGCCACCUCGCGAUGACGGUCAUCACCCAGACGACUAUCCUCAUCAAGACGGAGCGUUCGUCGUCUUCACCAGCGAAGGCGACGACAAGCACAACCUACGCCAAAGACGGCACGAGGUAAACGCCACUGUCCUCCCGGUUCCCCAGUACAUGCAUUGGUCUGACAAACCAAUCACAUGGAGCCGGGUGGACCAUCCUGCGGUGAUGCCCAACCUGGGAUUAUACGCGCUCGUCCUCGACCCCACCUUCGCCUCCAAAAGGCUCACCUGCCGAUUCUCCCGGGUGCUGGUCGAUGGCGGCAGCAGCAUCAACAUCCUCUACCUCGACACUCUCCUCAAGCUUGGGCUCAAGGAGACGGACGUCCUGCCAACCAGCACUGUCUUCCAUGGCAUCGUGCCUGGGCAGUCCUGCUCGCCCAUCGGCAAGAUCCAGCUGGACGUCCUCUUCGGCGACAAGGCCCACUUCCGCCGAGAGUCCAUAUGGUUCGAGGUAGUAGACCUCAGUAGCCCGUAUCACGCGCUGUUGGGAAGACCGGCUUUGGCCAAGUUCAUGGCUAUUCCGCAUUAUGCCUACCUAAAGAUGAAGAUGCCGGGUCCCAAGGGCAUCAUCACUGUUGUUGGCGACUACAAGAAGUCGCUCGAGUGUGCCCAAGAUAGCAGCCGCCUCACCGACGCCUUGGUGAUUGCUGAGGAGAAGCGGCAGAUUGACCGGCUCGUGGCCCAGGCUGCCGAGCAGCCGGUGAUUCCUUCUCCUCCGUCCCAAUCGACCGGCGAGGGCUCUUUCAAGCCGGCUAAAGAGACCAAACAGGUCCCACUCGACCCUGCCAACGCGAAGUAGUGCGUCACCAUCGGGGCUGGCCUCAGCCCCAAAUAGGAAGGCGAGCUCGUCGACUUCCUCCGUGAGAAUCGGGACAUCUUUGCAUGGUCCCUCAAGGACAUGCCGGGUGUUCCGAGGAAGUACGCCGAGCACAAACUUCACGUGCGACCGGAUGCGAAGCCGGUGAAACAACCCCUGCGCCGCUUCGCCGAGGGGAAGCGGCGCACGAUCGGAGAAGAAAUCACCCGGCUCCUCGCAUCCGGCUUCAUCAUGGAGGUUUUCCACCCGGACUGGCUGGCUAACCCAGUCCUGGUGCUGAAGAAGAACAACACAUGGCGAAUGUGUAUCGACUACACUAGCCUGAAUAAGGCCUGUCCGAAAGACCCUUUCGCGUUGCCUAGGAUAGAUCAAGUGAUCGACUCCACUGCAGGCUGCGAACUGCUGUCGUUUAUGGAUGCUUAUUCAGGCUACCAUCAAAUCAAGCUGGAUCCAACUGAUCCCGUGAAGACCUCCUUCAUCACGCCCUUCGGGGCCUACUGCUACACCACCAUGACGUUCGGUCUGAAGAACGCACGUGCGACAUUCCAACACUGCAUGCAGCAGUGCCUACUGCCACAGAUUGGCAGAAACAUCCACGUCUAUGUGGAUGACAUUGUCGUCAAGACGAAGCAGCACUUCAGCCUCCUCGACGACCUACGGGAGACAUUCGCUAAUCUGCGCGAAUACAAGAUCCGGCUCAACCCUGAGAAGUGCGUCUUCGGGGUCCCAGGCGGCAAACUCUUGGGGUUCUUCAUAUCCGCCCGCGGCAUCGAAGCGAACCCUGAGAAGAUCAGCACCAUCGAGCGGAUGGUGCGGCCGGCUCGGAUCCUCGACGUCCAAAAGUUCGCCGGCUGCUUGGCAUCCCUCAGCCGGUUCGUCAGCCGACUUGGUGAGAAGGCCCUUCCACUCUACAAGCUCAUGAAGAUGACGACAAAGUUCGAGUGGAACGACCAGGCGGACGAAGCCUUCCGCGACCUCAAGCGGGUAAUCUCGAGCCUGCCAUUCUUGGCAGCCCCAUCUGAAAGGGAACCCAUACUCAUAUACAUCGCGGCGACCACUCGCGUGGUCAGCGUAGUGUUGGUAGUUCAGCGUAAAGAGGAAGGCAAGGCCCUGCCAGUGCAGCGCCCUGUCUACUACCUUAGCAAGGUCUUGUCUGCCUCUAAGCAGAACUACCCUCAUUAUCAGAAAAUGUGUUAUGGUGUUUACCUUGCUGCAAAGAAAUUGAAGCAAUACUUCCAAGAGCAUGCCAUCACUGUGUUGGGGAACAUCGCAUGGGAAACAAAAAAUUUCCUACGCGCACGAAGACCUAUCAUGGUGAUGUCCAUCUACGAGAGGGGAUUUCCGAUCUACGUACCCUAGUAGAUCGCACAGCAGAAGCAUUAAGAAAUGCGGUUGAUGUAGUGGAACGUCCUCACGUCCCUCGAUCCGCCCCGCGAACCGUCCCACGAACCGUCCUGCGAUCCGUCCCACGAUCCGCACCGAUCUAGUGCCGAACGGACGGCACCUCCGCGUUCAACACACGUACAGCUUGACGAUGAUCUCGGACUUCUUGAUCCAGCAAGAGAGACGGAGAGGUAGAUGAGUUCUCCGGCAGCGUGACGGCGCUCCGGAGGUUGGUGGUGAUCUAAUCUUAGCAGGGCUCCGCCCGAGCUCCGCAGAAACGCGAUCUAGAGGAAAAACCGUGGAGGUAUGUGGUCGGGCUGCCGUGGCAAAAGUUGUCUCAAAUCAACCCUAAUAGCUCCAUAUAUAUAGGAGGAGGGGAGGGGAGGCUUGCCUUGAGGCUCAAGGAGCCCCAAGGGCUGCGCCACCAAGGGGAGGAGGAGUCCUUGUGACAGCCCGAGACCGACGUUCCAGAAGAUUCCCCCAUUUAUUCCGUUUUCGUCGUAUGUUUAGUUUUUAUUCACUACAUCGUCAUGUAGUUGCAUCAUCGCAUCAUGCAUGGCAUCAUGUCAUCUGUGUUUUAUCGGUGUUGUUUGUUGCUUCGUGUUGUUGGGUGUUAGUGUUUCGUGAGUGGCGUCGUUUGUUGGCGCGAUGAGAGAGGGAGCGUGAGAGCCACCGCUAAACCCCGUUGCACCGCUGACCUAAACCUUCUCCCCUCUUCUCCCCUCCUAAGUUGUUUUGUGGUUUUCCUAAAGAUUUCUAACUUUACCCCUCUUCCAAAAUAUUCGUCUUCUUUUUAAAAGUCCUUUUAUUAAACGUAGGGGCAACCCUUAGGUUUUAUUUUAACUCUCCGUUUGUCUUAUUUUAAAACCCUCCCAUUUUAUUUCUCUUUUAAAAGGCUUCUAUUUAUCCUUUAAAUAAAGAGGUCUUAUUUAAUCCUUUAAAAAAAGGGGUUAUCUUAUUUUUUUUCUUGUUAAAGGAGUUUUAAUUUAAUUCUUCAAAAGGGUGUUGAUUUUAAUUCUUUUAAAAGAAAGGGUUUGGUUUUUUUUAAUUCUUCUAAGAAGGGUUUUAUUUUAAAUCUUAAAAGGGUUUCAUUUUAUUUGUUUAAGAAAAAGCCCAAACUAUUUAUAGUUGGGGUUUGUUUUAAAUGGGUAAAAGAUACUAUCUUUAGUUUGUUUUUAUUUCGUUGGAAAAGACCUUUCUUUUAACAGAUUUCUGUUUUAAGGGUUUUUUUUUUCAAAAGAAAAAAAAACCAAAGUGCAUCAGGGGGAGGGAGCCCAGCCCAGCCGGCCAGGCCCAUGCCUCCUCCCUGACCUAGUGCCGACACCCCAGACCCCCAUCUCCCCCGUGCCGCCGCCCAACGCCCCGCGACCUGGCCUCCCCUGCUCGAGGGCUGCGCCGUCAGCCCCGCGCCAGCAGCCCCGAGCCCCCCGCCGGUCGCCGCCAAGCCCCUCCUGCCGCCUCCUCUUCCUCCCGAGCGCGCCGGCCACCUGCAGGAGACCCGCCGCCUGCGCUCGCCGUCGCCCCGAGUUCCCCGCCGCCGGCAGCCCCGCGCUCCGCCUCCGCAGCGACGCCCCGUCGUGCUCGCGAGCCGGCCGCCUCGCCCUCUGCUCCUCUUCUCCGAGUUCGAGCCGCCGCCCUUGCCCUGCAGCGCCGUCGUCACCCGCGCCUCGCCCCCGUCGCCGUCAUGGCCGCGCCGUCAGCGAGCCGCCCCGCGCGCCGCCCUGCCGUGCCCGCCACCAGGGGAUCCCCUCCGCCGCGCUGCGCGUCGUGGACGCCUCCUCCUCCUCGGACCUCGCCCCCGCGCGCCAUGCUGGUCGCCCCUCGACCCGAGUGCGCCGCCGCCGCCGUCUGCUGCGAGGAUAGCUUCUCCCAUCGCCCCUGCUUCCCAGGCCCGAGAUCAUCGCCCCGUCGGCCUUGCCCCCUGGUCGUCCUCGCUCGCCUCCCGGUCGCCGCCCCGUCGUGCUCGCCGGACCGCCCGUUCCCUUGCCGACGCCGAGAUAGCACGCCACUGCCGUUGCUGUUGCUGCGCUCGUGCCGAGUUGUGUUGCUGGCAGCUGCAGUUGAUGCUUGCCUGUUGCUGUUAGACUGCUAGGCCGCUAUUGCGUUUGCUAUGCUGCUAUUCCUGCUGCCGGUAGUAGAUGCACGCGUUGCCUGCUGCCCUGCUUGCCUGCAGACGCUGAUGCUGAUUGCUGUUGCUGCUGUGUGCUGUAGCUUGCUUGUUGUUUGGGCUUGUUGCCUCGCUGCCGUGCGUUGUUGCUGUCAAGUGUUGCUGUUGUGCCCGCGGUAGUUGUCGUUGCCUGCCCUGCUGUGUAGUCGCUGUAGCUAGCUGCUGCCUGUUGCGUGCUGCAUCGCUGCUGCUUUGCUAGGUGCCGCCAGCUAGCUGGUGUUGUUGUCGAGAUGUUGCUGCUGCCCUUGCCGAUAGCUGUCGUAGCCAGUGCUGUUGUGAGUUGUCCUGUUGCUGUUAGUUGCAAGCUAGCUUGCUCUUGCUGCCGUUAGCUUGCCUGUAGUUGUUGUUGCCGUGCUUGCGCCGCUGCCGUGCGAUUGCUGUUGUAGCUGGCUUUGCUGCUGCUAGUUUGCAUUGCUGCUAGUGGUAGGUUGCGGCAUGCUAGUGCUAGUGCCGCUUUGCCGUUGUAGUUGCUGUCAUGUCGCGUGCCGUUGCUGCGUGCAUGAUCACCGCCUUCGUGGGUCCUCGACAAGUUCGCCGCGAGUACCACGACGCUCCGACGACCCCGGACAUCCACGGAUUCGUGAACGACUACCGACGCCGAAGACCGUCUGCCGACGCCGAGAGUACGACUACCGUCGACGAGACCGUGCACCACUACUUCAACCGCCGGCGCGUGAACGACUACUUCCACGACGACCACGACGUCCGCUUCGACCGAACCCCUCCGAUUCGCACGCGUCGAAGGUAUACCGAUGGGACAUGUCGAGUACCGUGUGCUAGCGAUGUACGAAUGUGUGUGUUGUACAAGUUGAAUGCAUGUAUGCACCGUAUGUAUGCACCGUUUAUUUGCCGUGCUCGUCGUCUUCCUUUUCGUCGAGCCCUCGACACAUGGGAACCCGAGAUACGGGAUCACCCCAUCUUUAUUUACCGUUCCCACACGCGUUCGAAUACGUUGGCACGAUUGCUCGCCGAGUUGUCGGGAUAGGAACGUUGCCGUGGCAUCGUUUCCGUUUUGCCGCCAUGGUUCCCUUUCGUUUGCCAUGGCGACACAAGUUUCUUUCUCUUCUUGCCCGUGAUGUUUGAACUCGCCUGCAUGACGCAUUCAUGGCAUAUUUAUUUUGUGUUGCUUAUUCUUGUGCCGUAGCUCCGUUCAAAGUCCGACAUGCUGUCGACUAGGAUGACUUGUAGGUUCAUCGCUCACCCCUUGCCAUGUUAACAACAUUUAAUAUUGUCGUGAUAAUUAACGGGAGUUAAUUAAAUAUUUAAACGUGGAGUUUCGUCGAUAUGCAACCCGUUGCAUAUCGAGCUUCAUUUAAUGUGUAGUGUAUGUGUGAGGUGUUUUGCCGUGCCAUCCCGUGCAUCGAUGACCUGUUCAUGCAUCAUAUUAGGGUUGCAUCAUGUCUUGCCUUGUGGUGGUGAAUACUAGUGUUGAUGUUUGUUUCCGGUUUCCUCCGUCUCGAUAGAGUUCCGCAAGCGUGUCGGAAUGUGAGGACCGUUCGACUAUGUCGGUUCGCUGACUUCACCGAGUUGUUCUUCUUCCAAGCGGGAUCUCAGGCAAGAUGAUCAUUUCCCCAGAUACCAUUACUAUCAUUGCCAUGCUAGUUAUUUCGUUGCUACCGUUUAUGUCUCGUUGCCUACCACCUGUUAAAUAUCAGCCUCUCAACAAUGCCAUGAUUACCCUCAACCUGUUCGACCUAGCAAACCACUGAUUGGCUAUGUUACUGCUUGCUUAACCCUGUUGUUAGCGUUGCUAGUUGCAGGUGCAGUUGCUACCAUGUGAGAACAUGGGUACCUUGUUAUAUCACCAUAUCAAUGCUAUUUAAUUUAAUGCACCUAUAUACUUGGUAAAAGGUGGAAGGCUCGGCCUUUCUAGCCUGGUGUUUUGUUCCACCUUUGCCCCCUUAGUUUCGGCUACCGGUGUUAUGUUCCAUAAACGAGCGCUCCUAACACGAUCGGGGUUGUUAUGGGGACCCCCUUGAUAAUUCGUUUUAGAUUAAAGAUGGUCUGGCAAGGCCCAACUUUGGUACUACAUUUGCCUAAUCACUAAUAAACUGCAUAGGGAGUAAUUAACCCGAGGAAAUUUAAUCAACCCCCGGGCCAGUGCUCCUCAUGAGUGUUGGUCCAAACUAGAGCCGUUUGCGGGGCCAACCCGGGGCAACUCGGGAGAUUUCUAUCAGGCCACCGUACGCUGUGCUUAUCCGUCGUGUCCUGAGAACGAGGUACGCGACUCCUAUCGGGAUCGUCGACACGUCGGGCGGCCUUGCUGGAUUAGUUUUACCUUUGACGAAAUAUCUUGUGCAUCGGGAUUCUGGUGAUGCUUUGAGUAAUCUCAGAGUUGAGGUUUUCCACUAGGGAAUCCGACGAGAUCGCGAGCUUCGUGAUUGAGGAUUUCUAUGCGGCUUGUGGUAAUUUGUGAUGGACUAGUUGGAGCACCCCUGCAGGGUUAAAUCUUUCGGAAAGCCGUGCCCGCGGUUAUGUGGCAAAGUGGAUACUUUGUUUAACACUGGUUAUAGAUAACUUGAAGUUAACUUAAUUAAAAUAUGCCAACUGUGUGCGUAACCGUGAUUGUCUGUUUCAUGAGUUCCUUCUCCGAUCGAGGACACGGUGGGGUUAUGUCUGACGUAGGUAGGUGUUCAGGAUCAUUCAUUUGAUCAUCAGUAGUCACGUCCGCUAUGCGUAGAUCUUCCCCCUCUUAUUUCUUGUAUUCGUAAGUUAGCCACCAUAUAUAUGCUUAGCCGCUGCUGCAACCUCACCACUUAACCAUGCCUCACCUAACAAGCUUGCAUGCNNNNNNNNNNNNNNNNNNNNNNNNNNNNNNNNNNNNNNNNNNNNNNNNNNNNNNNNNNNNNNNNNNNNNNNNNNNNNNNNNNNNNNNNNNNNNNNNNNNNCUGGAAGCAGGAAUCAUUUAUCCUGUUGCUCAUAGUGAUUGGGUAAGUCCAGUACAUUGCGUACCUAAGAAGGGAGGUAUCACCGUCGUUCCUAAUGAUAAGAAUGAACUAAUCCCACAGAGGAUUAUUACUGGCUAUAGGAUGGUGAUAGACUUCCGGAAACUGAACAAGGCAACCAGGAAAGACCAUUAUCCUUUGUCGUUUAUCGACCAAAUGCUAGAAAGGCUAUCUAAACACACACACGUCUACUUUCUAGACGGUUAUUCAGGUUUCUCGCAAAUACCUGUUGCACAAUCUGAUCAGGAUAAAACCACUUUCACCUGCCCAUUCGGUACCUUUGCUUAUAGACGUAUGCCUUUUGGCUUAUGCAAUGCACCUGCCACCUUUCAAAGGUGUAUGAUGGCAAUAUUCUCUGACUUUUGUGAAAAGAUUGUUGAGGUUUUCAUGGAUGAUUUCUCCGAUUACGGUUCUUCCUUUGACGAUUGCCUCGGCAACCUUGAUCGAGUCUUACAGAGAUGCUAACAUACCAACCUCGUAUUGAACUGGGAGAAGUGCCACUUCAUGGUUAAUGAAGGUAUCGUCUUAGGACACAAAAUCUCUGAGAAAGGCAUUGAAGUUGAUAAGGCUAAGCUUGAUGCAAUUGAGAAAAUGCCUUGCCCCACAGAUAUCAGAGGUAUACGAAGUUUCCUAGGUCAUACUGGUUUCUAUAGAAGGUUCAUUAAAGACUUCUCUAAGAUUUCUAGGCCUCUUACCAACCUCUUGCAGAAGGAUGUUCCUUUUGUUUUUGAUGAGGAUUGUGAGGAAGCUUUCGAAAUACUUAAGAGGGCCUUGAUAACCGCACCUAUUGUUCAACCACCUGAUUGGAACUUGCCCUUUGAAAUCAUGUGCGACGCUAGUGAUUAUGCUGUUGGUGUUGUUCUAGGACAAAGAGUUGACAAGAAGUUGAAUGUUAUUCACUACGCUAGUAAAACUCUAGACAUUGCCCAAAGAAACUAUGCUACUACGGAGAAGGAAUUUUUAGCAGUCGUGUUUGCAUGUGAAAAGUUCAGAUCUUAUAUAGUUGACUCCAAAGUCAUUAUUCACUCUGAUCGUGCUGCUAUCAAGUAGCUUAUGGAGAAGAAAUACGCUAAACCUAGGCUAAUCAGAUGGGUUCUCCUGCUACAGGAAUUUGAUUUGCACGUUGUUGACCAAAAGGGUGCUGAUAACCCUAUAGCAGAUAACUUAUCCAGGCUAGAGAACGUCCUUGAUGACCCACGACCUAUUGAUGACAGCUUUCCUGAUGAGCAAUUGAAUGUCAUCCGUACUUCACAUAGUGCACCGUGGUAUGCUGAUUACACAAACUAUAUCGUAGCCAAAUACAUACCAUCCAGUUUCACCUACCAGCAAAAGAAGAAAUUCUUCUUUGAUUUGAGACACUACUUUUGGGAUGAUCGUCACCUUUAUAAGGAACGAGUAGAUGGUGUUAUUAGACGUUGUGUGCCUGAACAUGAACAGGGAUAGAUCCUGCAGAAGUGUCAUUCCGAAGCCUACGGAGGACACCAUGCUGGAGAUAGAACUGCUCAUAAGGUAUUGCAAUCAGGUUUCUAUUGGCCCACUCUCUUCAAGGAUGCCCGUAAGUUUGUCUUGUCUUGUGACGAAUGCCAAAGAAUAGGGAACAUCAGUAAACGUCAGGAAAUGCCUAUGAACUAUUCACUUGUCAUUGAACCAUUUGAUGUCUGGGGGUUUGAUUAUAUGGGACCCUUCCCGAGUUCCAAUGGGUAUACUCACAUAUUAGUUGCUGUUGAUUACGUAACUAAGUGGGUAGAAGCUAUCCCCACUAGAAGUGCUGAUCACCACGUCUCUAUUAAGAUGCUUAAAGAAGUCAUUUUCCCAAGAUUUGGAGUCCCUAGAUAUCUGAUGACUGAUGGCGGUUCACACUUCAUUCAUGGUGUUUUCCGCAAGAUUCUCGCUAAGUAUGAUGUCAACCAUAGAGUUGCAUCUCCUUAUCAUCCUCAGUCUAGUGGUCAAGUGGAAUUGAGUAAUAGGGAGAUCAAAUUGAUCUUACAAAAGACUGUCAAUAGAUCUCGAAAGAAUUGGUCUAGCAAACUUGACGAUGCACUAUGGGCUUAUAGGACUGCUUAUAAGAAUCCCAUGGGCAUGUCGCCGUAUAAAAUGGUUUACGGUAAGGCCUGUCAUUUACCUCUUAAGCUAGAACACAAAGCUUAUUGGACAAUCGAAGAGCUCAACUUCGAUUUCAAACUUGCUGGUGAGAAGCGGUUGUUUGAUAUCAUCUCAUUAGAUGAAUGGAGGGCCCAGGCAUAUGAGAAUGCCAAGUUGUUCAAAGAAAAGGUUAAGAGAUGGCACGAUAAAAGAAUACAAAAACGUGAGUUCAAUGUAGGUGAUUAUGUCCUUCUAUACAAUUCUUGCUUAAGAUUCUUCGUAGGCAAGCUUCUCUCUAAAAGGGAAGGUCCCUACGUUGUCGAGGAAGUAUAUUGUUUCGGUGCCAACCAAAUCAAUAACACGGAAGGUAAUUUUCCGAGAGUGGUAAAUGGGCAAAGAAUCAAGCAUUAUAUCUCUGGUACUCCCAUAAAUGUUGAGACCAAUAUCAUCAAUAUCAUAACUCCAGAGGAGUACAUAAGGGAUGUUUAUCAGCCUGUUUCAGACUCUGAAAACGGAGAGUAUGUGUUUUGGUAAGUAAUUGGACUCCAAAACUUUUCCAGUAGGAAAUUUUCUCUGUUUUGGAAUUUAUGGAAAAAACGAAAAAUAAAAAGCACUCCGAAGAGCGCACGAGGCGGCCANNNNNNNNNNNNNNNNNNNNNNNNNNNNNNNNNNNNNNNNNNNNNNNNNNNNNNNNNNNNNNNNNNNNNNNNNNNNNNNNNNNNNNNNNNNNNNNNNNNNUUCGCGAUGCUGAAAGUCGCAGAGUCAGAACUCCGUAAAGAACAUCAAGUGUUGAUGGUGAAUAAGACCACUAGUUUCAAGAGAAAUGGCAAAGGAAAGAAGGGUAAUUCAAAGAAGAGCGGCAAACCUGUUGCCAAUCCGACGAAGAAACCCGAAGAUGGACCUAAGCCUGAAACGGAGUGCUAUUAUUGCAAGGGUAUGGGUCACUGGAAGCGCAACUGCCCCAAGUAUCUGGCUGAUAAGAAGGCGGCCAAAGUAAAAUCAGGUAUAUUUGACAUACAUGUUAUUGAUAUGUACUUAACCAGCUCUCGUAGUAGUGCCUGGGUAUUCGAUACCGGUUCUGUUUCUCAUAUAUGCAACUCGAAACAGGAACUGCGGAAUAGGCGAAGGCUGGCGAAAGAUGAAGUGACGAUGCGCGUAGGAAAUGGUUCCAAGGAUGAUGCAAUCGCCGUCGGCACAGUUUAACUUCAGUUACCAUCAGGAUUAGUGAUGAACUUAAAUCAUUGUUAUUUAGUGCCUGCGUUGAGCAUGAACAUUAUAUGUGGAUCUUGUUUAUUGCGAGACGGUUACUCUUUUAAGUCAGAGAAUAAUGGUUGUUCUAUUUCUAUGAGUAACAUCUUUUAUGGUCAUGCACCUAAUGUGAGAGGAUUGUUCAUAUUGAAUCUUGAUAGCGAUACGCAUAUACAUAACAUUGAGACCAAAAGAGUUAGAGUUAACAAUGAUAGCGCCAUAUUUUUGUGUCACUGCCGCUUAGGUCACAUUGGUGUAAAGCGCAUGAAGAAACUCCAUGCUGAUGGACUUUUGGAGUCACUUGACUUUGAUUCACUUGACACGUGCGAACCAUGCCUCAUGGGCAAGAUGACUAAGACUCCGUUCUCCGGAACAAUGGAGCGUGCAAGUGACUUGUUGGAAAUCAUACAUACCGAUGUGUGUGGUCCAAUGAGCGUGGAGGCACGCGGCGGAUAUCGUUAUUUUCUCACCUUCACUGACGAUUUGAGCAGAUAUGGUUAUGUCUACUUGAUGAAGCACAAGUGUGAAACAUUUGAAAAGUUCAAGCAAUUUCAGAGUGAAGUGGAAAAUCAUCGUAACAAGAAGAUCAAGUUCCUACGGUCUGAUCGUGGGGGUGAAUAUCUGAGUUUCGAGUUUGGUACUCACUUAAGACAAUGUGGAAUAGUUUCACAGUUAACACCGCCUGGAACACCACAGCGUAAUGGUGUGUCCGAACGUCGUAAUCGUACUCUAUUAGAGAUGGUGCGAUCUAUGAUGUCUCUUACUGAUUUGCCGUUAUCGUUUUGGGGUUAUGCAUUAGAAACAGCUCAUUCACUUUAAAUAGGGCACCAUCAAAAUCCGUUGAGACGACACCAUACGAACUGUGGUAUGGCAAAAGGCCAAAGUUGUCGUUUCUUAAAGUUUGGGGAUGUGAUGCUUAUGUCAAAAAGCUUCAGCCUGAAAAGCUGGAACCCAAAGCGGAAAAGUGCGUCUUCAUAGGUUACCCAAAAGAGACAGUUGGGUACACCUUCUAUCUCAAAUCCGAGGGCAAAGUGUUUGUUGCUAAAAAUGCAGCUUUUCUCGAGAAGGAGUUUCUCUCGAGAGAAUUGAGUGGGAGGAAGAUAGAACUUGACGAGGUUGUCGAACCUCUCAUCCCUCUGGAUGGUGGCGCAGGGCAAGGGGAAACCUCUGUCGUUGCGACGCCGGUUGAGGAGGAAGUUAAUGAUGAUGAUCAUGAAACUCCAGUUCAAGUUUCUGUCAAACCACGCAGGUCGACGAGACCACAUGCUGCUCCAGAGUGGUACGGUAAUCCCGUCUUAUCAAUCAUGUUGUUAGACAACAAUGAACCUGCAAAUUAUGAAGAAGCAAUGGUGGGCCCAGAUUCCAACAAAUGGCUAGAAGCCAUGAAGUCCGAGAUAGGAUCCAUGUAUGAGAACAAAGUGUGGACUUUGGAGGUACUACCUGAGGGCCGCAAGGCUAUUCAGAACAAAUGGAUCUUUAAGAGGAAGACGGACGCUGACGGCAAUGUGACCGUUUAUAAAGCUCGACUUGUGGCAAAGGGUUUUUCACAAGUUCAAGGAGUUGACUACGAUGAGACAUUCUCACCCGUAGCGAUGCUUAAGUCCGUCAGAAUCAUGUUAGCAAUAGCUGCAUUUUUCGAUUAUGAAAUCUGGCAGAUGGAUGUCAAAACGGCGUUCCUUAAUGGUUUCCUUAAGGAAGAGUUGUAUAUGAUACAACCCGAAGGUUUUGUCGAUCCUAAGAAUGCUAACAAGGUGUGCAAGCUCCAGCGAUCCAUUUAUGGACUGGUGCAAGCAUCUCGGAGUUGGAACAAACGCUUUGAUGAGGUAAUCAAAGCAUUUGGGUUUAUACAAGUGGUUGGAGAAUCUUGUAUUUACAAGAAAGUGAGUGGGAGCUCUGUGGCGUUUCUAAUAUUAUAUGUGGAUGACAUAUUGCUGAUUGGAAACAACGUGGAGUUUUUAGAGAGCAUAAAUGAUUACUUGAAUAAGAGUUUCUCUAUGAAGGACCUAGGAGAAGCUGCUUACAUUCUAGGCAUUAAGAUCUAUAGGGAUAGAUCAAAACGCGUGAUAGGACUUUCACAAAGCACAUACCUUGAUAAAGUUUUGAAGAGGUUCAAAAUGGAACAGUCCAAGAAAGGGUUCUUGCCAGUUUUACAAGGUACGAUAUUGAGUAAGACUCAGUGCCCGGCAACUGAUGAAGAUAGAGAGCAUAUGCGCUCCGUCCCCUAUGCUUCAGCCAUAGGUUCUAUCAUGUAUGCAAUGUUGUGCACUAGACCGGAUGUUAGCCUGGCCAUAAGUAUGGCAGGUAGGUUCCAGAGUAAUCCAGGAGUGGAUCACUGGACAGCGGUCAAGAAUAUCCUAAAGUACCUAAAAAGGACUAAGGAGAUGUUUCUCGUGUCUGGAGGUGACGAAGAGCUCGCCGUAAAAGGUUACGUCGAUGCAAGCUUUGACACAGAUCCGGAUGACUCUAAGUCGCAAACCGGAUACGUAUUUAUUCUUAAUGGGGGUGCGGUAAGCUGGUGCAGUUCCAAGCAAAGCGUCAUAGCAGAUUCUACAUGUGAAGCGGAGUACAUGGCUGCCUCGGAGGCAGCUAAGGAGGGUGUCUGGAUGAAGCAGUUCAUGACGGAUCUUGGAGUGGUGCCAACCGCACUGAAUCCAAUAACCUUGUUCUGUGACAACACGGGUGUCAUUGCCUUAGCAAAGGAACCACGGUUUCACAAGAAGACCAGACACAUCAAACGACGCUUCAACCUCAUCCGCGACUACGUCGAGGGAGAGGACGUAAAUAUAUGCAAAGUGCACACGAAUCUGAAUGUAGCAGACCCGCUGACUAAACCUCUUCCACGGCCAAAGCAUGAUCAACACCAGAACUGUAUGGGUGUUAGAUUUAUUACAAUGUAAUUCACAUGAUGAUGUGAGGGCUAGAUUAUUGACUCUAGUGCAAGUGGGAGACUGUUGGAAUUAUGCCCNNNNNNNNNNNNNNNNNNNNNNNNNNNNNNNNNNNNNNNNNNNNNNNNNNNNNNNNNNNNNNNNNNNNNNNNNNNNNNNNNNNNNNNNNNNNNNNNNNNNAGCACGUGAUGAUGGCCAUAUCAUGUCACUUAUGAAUUGCAUGUGAUGUUAAUCCUUUUAUGCACCUUAUUUUUCUUAGAACGACGGUAGCAUUAUGAGGUGAUCUCUCACUAAAAUUUCAAGACGAAAUUGUGUUCUCCCCGACUGUGCACCGUUGCAGUUCGUUGUUUCGAGACACCACGUGAUGAUCGGGUGUGAUAGAGUCAACGUUCACAUACAACGGGUGCAAAACAGUUGCACACGCAGAACACUCGGGUUAAGCUUGACGAGCCUAGCAUGUGCAGACAUGGCCUUGGAACACAUGAUACCGAAAGGUCGAUCAUGAAUCAUAUAGUUGAUAUGAUUAGCAUAGGGAUGCUUACCACUGAAACUAUCCUCAACUCACGUGAUGAUCGGACUUGAGCUAGUGGAAUUGGAUCAUGAACAACUCAAAUGACUAGAGAUAUGUACUUUUUGAGUGGGAGUUUAGCAAGUAAUUUCAUUAAGUUAAACUCUAAUUAUCUUGAACAUAGUCUAAGUCCACUUUGAAUAUAUUUGUGUUGUAGAUCAUGGCUCACGCGACAGUCACCUUGAAUUUUAAUACGUUCCUAGAGAAAGCUAAGUUGAAAGAUGAUGGAAGCAACUUUGUAGACUAGGCUCGUAAUCUUAAGUUGAUCCUACAAGCUGGGAAGAAGGAUUAUGUCCUUGAUGCUGCGCUAGGAGAUGAACCACCCGCUACGGCUGACCAAGAUGUUAAGAACGCUUGGUUAUCACGUAAGGAGGACUACUCAGUAGUUCAAUGUGCAGUCUUGUAUGGCUUAGAACCGGGACUUCAACGUCACUUUGAGCGUCAUGGAGCAUUUGAGAUGUUCCAAGAGUUGAAGUUUAUCUUUCAGAAGAACGCCCGGAUCGAGAGGUAUGAGACCUCCGAUAAAUUCUAUGCUUGCAAGAUGGAGGAGAACUCGUCUGUCAGUGAACAUGUGCUCAAAAUGUCUGGGUACUCAAACCAUCUAGCUGAGCUGGGGAUUGAACUCCCGCAAGAGGCUAUCACUGACAGAAUCCUUCAAUCACAGCCGCCAAGCUAUAAAGGCUUUGUGUUGAACUACAACAUGCAAGGGAUGAACAAGUCACCCGGCGAGUUGUUUGCGAUGCUGAAAGUCGCAGAGUCUGAACUCCGUAAAGAACAUCAAGUGUUGAUGGUGAAUAAGACCACUCAUUUCAAGAGAAACGACAAAGGCAAGAAGGGUAAAUCAAAGAAGAUCGGAAAGCCUGUUGCCAAUCCGACGAAGAAACCCAAAGCUGGACCUAAGCCUGAAACAAAGUGUUACUAUUGCAAGGGUAUGGGUCACUGGAAGCGCAAUUGCCCCAAGUAUCUGGCUGAUAAGAAGGCGGCCAAAGAAAAAUCAGGUAUAUUUGAUAUACAUGUUAUUGAUGUGUACUUAACCGGCUCUCGUAGUAGUGCCUGGGUAUUCGAUACCGGUUAUGUUGCUCAUAUUUGCAACUCGAAACAGGAACUACAGAAUAGACGAAGGCUGGCGAACGAUGAAGUGACGAUGCGCAUAGGAAAUAGUUCCAAGGUUGAUGCAAUCGCCGUCGGCACAGUUUCACUUCAGUUACCAUCAGGAUUAGUUAUGAACUUGAAUCAUUGUUAUUUAGUGCCUGCGUUGAGCAUGAACAUUAUAUCUGGAUCUUGUUUAUUGCGAGAUGGUUACUCUUUUAAGUCAGAGAAUAAUGGUUGUUCUCUUUCUAUGAGUAACAUCUUUUAUGGUCAUGCACCCAAUGUGAGAGGAUUGUUCAUAUUGAAUCUUGAUAGCGAUACACACAUACAUAACAUUGAGACCAAAAGAGUUAGAGUUAACAAUGAUAGCGCCAUAUUUUUGUGGCACUGCCGCUUAGGUCAUAUUGGUGUAAAGCGCAUGAAGAAACUCCAUGCCGAUGGACUUUUGGAGUCACUUGACUUUGAUUCACUUGACACGUGCGAACCAUGCCUCAUGGGCAAGAUGACUAAAACUCCGUUCUCCGGAACAAUGGAGCGUGCAAGUGACUUGUUGGAAAUCAUACAUACCGAUGUGUGUGGUCCGAUGAGCGUAGAGGCACGCGGCGGAUAUCGUUAUUUUCUCACCUUCACUGAUGAUUUGAGUAGAUAUGGUUAUGUCUACUUAAUGAAGCACAAGUCUGAAACAUUUGAAAAGUUCAAGCAAUUUCAGAGUGAAGUUGAAAAUCAUCGUAACAAGAAGAUCAAGUUCCUACGGUCUGAUCGUGGGGGUGAAUAUCUGAGUUUCGAGUUUGGUGCUCACUUAAGACAAUGUGGAAUUGUUUCACAGUUGACNNNNNNNNNNNNNNNNNNNNNNNNNNNNNNNNNNNNNNNNNNNNNNNNNNNNNNNNNNNNNNNNNNNNNNNNNNNNNNNNNNNNNNNNNNNNNNNNNNNNUAUAUCACAUCACAUCAUUGGCCAUAUCACAUCACAAGCAUACCCUGCAAAAACAAGUUAGACGUCCUCUAAUUUUGUUGUUGCAUGUUUUACGUGGUGACCAUGGGUAUCUAGUAGGAUCGCAUCUUACUUACGCAAACACCACAACGGAGAUAUAUGAGUUGCUAUUUAACCUCAUCCAAGGACCUCCUCGAUCAAAUCCGAUUCAACUAAAGUUGGAGAAACUGACACCCACCAUUCAUCUUUGAGCAACGGAGUUACUCGUAGCGAUGAAACCAGUCUCUCGUAAGCGUACGAGUAAUGUCGGUCCGAGCCACUUAGAUCCAAUAAUACCGCGGAAUCAAGAAAAUACUAAGGAGGGAAGCAAAACGCACAUCACCGCCCACAAAAACUUUUGUGUUCUACUCGAGAAGACAUCUACGCAUGAACCUAGCUCAUGAUGCCACUGUUGGGGAACGUCGCAUGGGAAACAAAAAUUUUCCUACGCGCACGAAGACCUAUCAUGGUGAUGUCCAUCUACGAGAAGGGAUGUGUGAUCUACGUACCCUUGUAGACCGUACAGCAGAAGCGUUAGUGAACGCGGUUGAUGUAGUGGAACGUCCUCACGUCCCUCGAUCCACCCCGCGAACCGUCCCGCGAUCAGUCCCACGAUCUAGUGCCGAACGGACGGCACCUCCGCGUUCAGCACACAUACAGCUCGACGAUGAUCUCAGCCUUCUUGAUCCAGCAAGAGAGACAGAGAGGUAGAAGAGUUCUCCGGCAGCGUGACGGCGCUCCGGAGGUUGGUGGUGAUCUUAUCUCAGCAGGGCUCCGCCCGAGCUCCGGAGAAACGCGAUCUAGAGGAAAAACCGUGGAGGUAUGUGGUCGGGCUGCCGUGGAAAAGUCGUCUCAAAUCAGCCCUAAAACCUCCGUAUACAUAGGGGGAAGAGGGGGAGCCUUGCCUUGGGGUCCAAGGACCCCUAAGGGUUUCGGCCGAGCCAAAGGAGGCAGCCCUCCCCUUCCAAACCGAGUCCAACUAGGUUUGGAAGGAGGAGUCCUUCCCCCUUUUCCCACCUCCUCUUUUUUUUUCUCUUUGAUUUUUCUUCCUAUGGCGCAUAGGGCUCUUUUGGGCUGUCCCACCAGCCCACUAAGGGCUGGUGCGCCACCCCUAAUGCCUAUGGGCUUCCUCGGGGUGGGUUGCCCCCCCAUUGAACUCCCGGAACCCAUUCGUCAUUCCCGGUACAUUCCCGGUAACUCCGAAAACCUUCCGGUAAUCAAAUGAGGUCAUCCUAUAUAUCAAUCUUCGUUUUCGGACCAUUCCGGAAACCCUCGUGACAUCCUUGAUCUCAUCCGGGACUCCGAACAACAUUCGGUAACCAACCAUAUACCUCAAAUACGCAUAAAACAACGUCGAACCUUAAGUGUGCAGACCCUGCGGGUUCGAGAACUAUGUAGACAUGACCCGAGAGACUCCGUGGUUAAUAUCCAAUAGCGGGACCUGGAUGCCCAUAUUGGAUCCUACAUAUUCUACAAAGAUCUUAUCGUUUGAACCUCAGUGCCAAGGAUUCAUAUAAUCCCGUAUGUCAUUCCCUUCGUCCUUCGGUAUGUUACUUGCCCGAGAUUCGAUCGUUAGUAUCCGCAUACCUAUUUCAAUCUCGUUUACCGGCAAGUCUCUUUACUCGUUCCGUAAUACAAGAUCCCGCAACUUACACAAAGUCACAUUGCUUGCNNNNNNNNNNNNNNNNNNNNNNNNNNNNNNNNNNNNNNNNNNNNNNNNNNNNNNNNNNNNNNNNNNNNNNNNNNNNNNNNNNNNNNNNNNNNNNNNNNNNCUCAUCCGGGACUCCGAACAACAUUCGGUAACCAACCAUAUAACUCAAAUACGCAUAAAACAACGUCGAACCUUAAGUGUGCAGACCCUGCGGGUUCGAGAACUAUGUAGACAUGACCCGAGAGACUCCUCGGUCAAUAUCCAAUAGCGGGACCUGGGUGCCCAUAUUGGAUCCUACAUAUUCUACGAAGAUCUUAUCGUUUGAACCUCAGUGCCAAGGAUUCAUAUAAUCCCGUAUGUCAUUCCCUUUGUCCUUCGGUAUGUUACUUGCCCGAGAUUCGAUCGUCAGUAUCCGCAUACCUAUUUCAAUCUCGUUUACCAGCAAGUCUCUUUACUCGUUCCGUAAUACAAGAUCCCGCAACUUACAAUAAGUUACAUUGCUUGCAAGGCUUGUGUGUGAUGUUGUAUUACCGAGUGGGCCCCGAGAUACCUCUCCGUCACACGGAGUGACAAAUCCCAGUCUUGAUCCAUACUAACUCAACUAACACCUUCGGAGAUACCUGUAGAGCAUCUUUAUAGUCACCCAGUUACGUUGCGACGUUUGAUACACACAAAGCAUUCCUCCGGUGUCAGUGAGUUAUAUGAUCUCAUGGUCAUAGGAAUAAAUACUUGACACGCAGAAAACAGUAGCAACAAAAUGACACGAUCAACAUGCUACGUCUAUUAGUUUGGGUCUAGUCCAUCACGUGAUUCUCCUAAUGACGUGAUCCAGUUAUCAAGCAACAACACCUUGUUGAUAAUCAGAAGACACUGACUAUCUUUGAUCAACUGGCUAGCCAACUAGAGGCUUGCUAGGGACGGUGUUUUGUCUAUGUAUCCACACAUGUAAAUGAGUCUUCAUUCAAUACAAUUAUAGCAUGGAUAAUAAACGAUUAUCUUGAUACAGGAAUUAUAAUAAUAAAUAUAUUUAUUAUUGCCUCUAGGGCAUAAUUCCAACANNNNNNNNNNNNNNNNNNNNNNNNNNNNNNNNNNNNNNNNNNNNNNNNNNNNNNNNNNNNNNNNNNNNNNNNNNNNNNNNNNNNNNNNNNNNNNNNNNNNGCAUGCAAGCUUGGUAGCCGCGGCCUCCCCCUGGCCGCGGCUACAGGGUUUGUGGGCACCUCGUGUGCCACCCGGACUCCGUUUUCUUGCGGAGCACUCCUUCUGGUCCAGAAAAAAUCAUUAUAUAUAUGCCCGAGGGUUUCUAUCUCCGUAUCACGCAGUUUUCCUCUGUUUUUCCUUUCGAGCCUGUUUUGUGCCGCAGAUCUAGGUCAAGAUGUCUUCUCAGGAUUUAGAGGGGGAGAGCUAUGUGGCUGAUUACCUUGCUGACCCCAAGGUCUAUGGGGACUUGGAACCAUAUGGCUGGACCACUGAUGAGGAAGAGGACUAUGAUCCCAAGGGGAAGGAACAAACGAGUUCCGAUGAAGAGGAGGCUCCUCUACCUCAACCUGGACGCACUCAUGUGGAGUUCAAGAAGUCAAGCCUCCCUGACUCAAGGAAGAAGCCUAAGAACUUGUUUAUCCCUUCUCGUUUCUUGCAGGAGAGUAAGCAGUAACUUUGUCAAAGGGUGUUGAAGCUUGAGGAGGAAAAUGAUGAUCUGAGAGAGCAGAAUUUCAUGCUCAAGUGGAAAUUAGACAAGCUCAAGACCUCUGCAACAACUCCUCCGCCACCACCAAAGGAGGACAACUGAGCAUUGGUAUGGGCAAUCCCCUUGGCUUGUGCCAAGCUUGGGGGAGUUGCCCUGGUAUCGUAUCACCUUUAUAUCUUUUGCUUUUACCUUUGUUUUAGUUCUUUCUUUUUCAGUUUUUACUUUCUUCUCUUAGUGGGAUAAGUCUUUAGUGUUUAGUUUGAGUCUUUUGCCUUGUGUCUCCCCCGAUGUAUUCGAGCUUGCGAGCUAUAUAAUAAAGAGUAUCUUAGUCAAGGGCUUUGUUUGUGUCGUGAUCAAAAGUAUGAAAAUAACGAUAGCAUGAAAGAUCAUGAGAUGAUCUUAUGGAAAGUGAUAGCUUCACAUAUAACAAGUAUGAUGAUUGAAACUUGUUGAGAAUAUACCAACAUAGACCCCAGUCAUUGUUGCAAUUAAUAAGAAGUAAUAAGGAAAGAGAGUUUCACAUAUAAAUAUAUCUUCUUAGACACUUUUUUACAAUUGUGAGCACUCAUCAAACUAUUACAUGCUUAGAAGUAGAUGUUGGACAAGGAAGGCAACAAGAUGAAUUGUGUUUGCUUGAUUCCAAACAAUGUUAUAUGAUUAGAGAUCCCUUAGCAGGUGACGAUUGCUUUCACCUCAUAUUAGCCAAAACUCCCGCACCCAGUAGAGAUACUACUUGUGCAUCCAUAAACCUUCAACCCAGUUUUGCCAUGAGUGUCCACCAUACCUACCAAUGGAUUGAAUCAGAUCCCUCAAGUAAGUUGUCAUCGGUGCAAGCAAUAAAAAUUGCUCUCUAAUAUGUAUGAUCUAUUAGUGUGUGGAAAAUAAGCUUUAUAUGAACCUGUGAUGAGGAAGACAUAAAAGCAACAGACUGCAUAAUAAAGUUCUUUAUCAGAGGAGGCAAUAUAAAGUGACGUUCCUCCGCACUAAGAGGACACGCAUCCAAACCUCAAAAGUGCAUGGCAACCUCUGCUUCCCUCUGCGAAGGGCCUAUCUUCUACCUUUACCUUUUGUCCUUGUGAAAGUCAUGGUGAUCAACACCAAUUCCCUUUUCCUUCUUUAUCUUGGUGAACGUCAUAUGCUAGGGAAAGAUCUAUAUUCUUAUAUCAACUUGGAGAUGAGUACUUAUGCUUUAUUAUUGUUGACUUUACCCUUGAGGUAAAUGGUUGGGAGGCAAAAUUAUAAGCACUAUCUUUCUCUGUGUCCAACUGAAACUUUGAUACCAUGAGUACCACGUGAGUUGUAACAAUUGUGGAAAACGAAAAAGAUGAUUGAGUAUGUGGAUUUGCUUUACAAGCUCUUAUUUCACUCUUUCUGAUGUUAUGAUAAAUUGCAAUUGCUUCAAUGACUAUGGACUGUUGUUGGCUACUUCUCGGUAAGGUUUUUGAUUCAUACUUUGCUUUGUGAAGGAAUUGUUACUUUCCCAUAAGAAUCUUUAUGAUGUAUUGCUGUUCUAUGUGUGAUCAUGAUGCCCUCAUGUCCUUAUUAUGUUUUAUCGACACCUUCAUCCCUAAACAUGUGGACAUGUUUAUGGAUCUUGGUUUUCGCUUGAGGACAAGCGAGGACUAAGCUUGGGGGAGUUGAUACGUCCAUUUUGCAUCAUGCUUUCAUGUUGAUAUGUAUCACUUUAUGGACUGUUAUUAUACUUUGUGGUACCAUACUUAUGCCUUUUCUCUCUUAUUUUGCAAGGUUUAUUUGAAGAGGGAGAAUACCGGCAGCUGGAAUUCUGGACUGGAAAAGGAGCAAGUCUGAGUCCUCUAUUCUGCGCAACUCCAAAUGCCCUGAAAAUCAACGUGGAAUUUAUUGGGAUUAUAUAAAAAAUAUUGGGCGAAAGAAGUGCCAGAGGGGAGUUGCCACGGGCCCACAAGCCUGGUAGCCGCGACCUGCCCCCCUGGCCGCGGCUACAGGGCUUGUGGGCACCCUGGUGGCCCACUGGCCCCCCUCUUCUGCUAUAUGAAGGGUUUCGUCCGGAAAAAAAAUCAGGGCGGAGCUUUUUCGUGGAUUCUCCGCCGCCACGAGGCGGAACUUGAGCAGAACCAAUCUAGAGCUCCGGCAGGACGAUCCUGUCGGGGAAACUUCCCUCCCGAAGGGGGAAAUCAUCGCCAUCGUCACCACCAACACUCCUCUCAUUGGAGGGGACUCGUCACCAUUAACAUCUUCAUCAGCACCAUCUCAUCUCCAAACCCUAGUUCAUCACUUGUAACCAAUCUCCGUCUCGCGACUCCGAUUGGUACUUGUAAGGUUGCUAGUAGUGUUGAUUACUCUUUGUAGUUGAUGCUAGUUGGAUUACUUGGUGGAAGAGUUUAUGUUCAGAUCCUUGAGACUACUCAUUACCUCUCUGAUCAUGAUUAUGAUUAUGUUUUGUGAGUAGUUACUUUUGUUCCUGAGGACAUGGGAUAAGUCAUGCUAAUAGUAGUCAUGUGAAUUUGGUAUUCGUUCGAUAUUUUGAUGUGUUGUAUGUUGUUUUUCCUCUAGUGGUGUUAUGUGAACGUCGAAUACAUAACACUUCACCAUUAUUUGGGCCUAGAGGAAGGCAUUGGGGAGUAGUAAGUAGAUGAUGGGUUGCUAGAGUGACAGAAGCUUAAACCCCAGUCUAUGCGUUGCUUCGUAAGGGGCUGAUUUGGAUCCACUAGUUUAAUGCUAUGGUUAGACGUUGUCUUAAUUCUUCUUUCAUAGUCGUGGAUGCUUGCGAGAGGGGUUAAUCAUAAGUGGGAUGCUUGUCCAAGUAAGGGCAGUACCCAAGCGACGGUCCACCCACAUAUCAAACUAUCAAAGUAACGAACGCGAAUCAUAUGAACAUGAUGAAACUAGCAUGACAGAAAUUCCCGUGUGUCCUCGGGAGCGUUUUUCCUCCUAUAAGACUUUGUUCAGGCUUGUCCCUUGCUACAAAAGGGUUUGGGCCACUUCGCUGCACCGUUGCUAUUACUUGUUACUUGUUACUUUUCACCUGCUAUGUUUCACCUCACUACACCAUCACUUGUUAGCGCUACUUUCAGUGCUUGCAGUUAUUACCUUGCUGAAAACCGUUUAUCAGAGCCUUCUGCUCCUCGUUGGGUUCGACACUCUUACUUAUCGGAAGGACUACGAUUGAUCCCCUAUACUUGUGGGUCAUCAGGAUGAUCGAGCAUAGCCAGACAAUAUGAUUUUGUAGGGAUAACUUUCUUUGGCCUUGUAAUUUCGAAAGUUCAUGAUCACUUUGCUAGUUUGCUUGAAGUAUUUUUUUUUCAUGUCAAUAGUAAACUGUUGUUUUGAAUCUUACGGAUCUGAACAUUCAUGUCACAAGGAAGAAGUUACAAAGGACAAAUAUGUUAGGUAGCAUUCCACAUCAAAAAUUCAGUCUUUAUCACUUCCCUACUCGAGGACGGGCAGGAGUUAAGCUUGGGGAUGCUUGAUACGUAUCCAACGUAUCUAUAAUUUUUGAUGGUUCCAUGCUAUUAUCUUGUCAAGUUUGGAUGUUUUGUAUGCAUGAAUAUGCUAUUUUAUAUCUUUUUGGGACUAACCUAUUAACUCAGUGCCAAGUGCCAGUUCCUGUUUUUCCCGUGUUUUGACCCUUUUCAGAGGAGAAUAUCAAACAGAGUCCAAAUGGAAUAAAAUCUUCAGAAUGAUUUUAUCCGUAAUAGAAGAUACGCAGGGAACUUGAGAACAAAGGCAAAGGACCCCGGGGGAGGCCACAAGCCCCCUAGCCGCGACCGGGGGGGGGGGCGCCUACCAGGCUUGUGGGCCCCCCGUGGCUCCUUUGCCCUACUUCUUCCGCCUGUAAAUUCCCUAAAAAACCAAAACUGCCAGAGAGAGCCACGAAAAUACUUUUCCGUUGCCGCAAGCUUCUAUCUCCGUAAGAUCCCAUUUGGGGACCGUUCUGGUUCCCUGCCGGAGGGUGGAUUCGGACACGGAGGGCUUCUUCAUCAACACCAUUACCUCUCCGAUGAUGCGUGAGUAGUUCACCACAGACCUUUGGGUCCAUAGCUAGUAGCUAGAUGGCUUCUUCUCUCUCUUGGAUCUUCAAUACAAAGUUCUCCAUGAUCUUCAUGGAGAUCUAUCCGAUGUAAUCUUCUUUUGCGGUGUGUUUGUCGAUAUCCGAUGAAUUGUGGAUUUAUGAUCAGAUUAUCUAUGAAUAUUAUUUGAGUUUCCUCUGAUCUCAUAUAUGCAUGAUUUCGUAUCCUUGUAAUUCUCUUCGAGUUGUGGGUUUCGUUUGGCCAACUUGAUCUAUAAUUCUUGCAAUGGGAGAAGUGCUUGGUUUUGGGUUCAUACCGUGCGGUGUCCUCACCCAGUGACAGAAGGGGUAGCGAGGCACGCAUCAUGUUGUUGCCAUCAAGGGCAAAAAGAUGGGGUUUAUAUCUAUUGCAUGAAUUUAUCCCUCUACAUCAUGUCAUCUUGCUUAAGGCGUUACUCUGUUUGUUAUGAACUCAAUACACUAUAUGCAUGCUGGAUAGCGGUCGAUGUGUGGAGUAAUAGUAGUAGAUGCAGAAAGUAUCGGUCUACUUAUCUCGGACGUGAUUCCUAUAUGUAUGAUCAUUGCCUUAGAUAUCAUCAUGACUUUGCGCGGUUCUAUCAAUUGCUCGACAGUAAUUCGUUCACCCACCAUAAUAUUUGCUAUCAUGAGAGAAGCCUCUAGUGGACACUAUGGGCCCCGGGUCUACUUCACAUCAUAUUUUCAGCUCUACACUUUUACUUUGUUGCACUUUCCACCUUCAUAUCUCACCUUGCAAUUAAUCGUGAAGGGAUUGACAACCCCUUUAUAGCGUUGGGUGCAAGUUUGCUUGUUUUUGCGCAGGUACAUUGGUGACUUGCCUUAAUACUCCUACUGGAUUGAUACCUUGGUUCUCAAACUGAGGGAAAUACUUACUGCUACUGUGCUGCAUCACCCUUUCCUCUUCAAGGGAAAACCAACGCAAGCUCAAGAGGUAGCAAGAAGCCACAAGUAUGAUGCAACUGUCUCGUCCGACACUAGACCGACCCCAAACAAAACUAUGUUGCGGUGAUGGUUCAGGCCGACGAAUGGAACAAACAGAAGCCUAUACUUGUUAGAACGAUAUGUACUGUCGAACACCACGACACCACCAGAGACAACAUAGUCAAUACGGGAUUGUGGAUCAGCCCAGAAUAUGUUCCUCAAAUGGCCUUCGCUGUCUUUUGUGUAUUUGAAAAAGAAUUUUGGGUCUGAUUUUUUCAGUGCAAUCAUGUAGGUGAGCAAAUAUCUAGCAUUAUUGCCUUCUAUCUUGCGCUUCUUCUGGAUUGAAACAUGGUUCUAUAGGUCUCGAUCUAUAAAUCCAAGCUUGUCGGGACCUCCGGCAUUCUUCUCCAUUACAUUCAUAAUCUGAUGUGUUUGAAGUCCACCGACAGCAUACUCGAUGACAUCGGCCUUUUGUUCGUCAGUCAUUCUACGAUGAGACGAUAAGUAGGGAGUCAGGUCAGCAGGGACAAACAGAUGGUUAUGCUUGUCCACAAAAUUCUUGACGAACCAUAAGCCACUGCUAUCUUGUAGCUCAACCGGAAAAAGAGCGGGACACCCACACCGAGAAAGACCCCUCGGUGUUCUUUUUUUUCAGCUCUUUUAAAGUGCUUAAGGGUCUGCCAUCCUUGUUUGCAGCACUUGUGUGUCCUUCUGUAUGCAUUUUGUUUCGGACCCGGACCCCUGUACUUCAGAUCAUCCUUUCUAACACCAAACCCUUUUUUCUGGCAUAGCCUACGUAAAACAUGUAGGCUUCUACCUCAGUCCCGAAAGUCUUAUUUGCAAUCUCUAAGUAUUCCAUAUACUCAUUCACGUCUGAACCAACCAUGCCUUUAUUAUCAAUUUCUUUACCUUGCAAGUGUACAUCAUCCAUGUCUAUGCCAUCCUUGCAUGCAUACUCAUCUUUAUCAUCCAUUCAUGUACCAUCCAUUCCUUUGGGGUCCAUGGCUACGAAAUCAUUAUCCUUAUCAUCCAUGCAUUUGCCUUCGCUUCCUCUCUCACCCAUGUCCUUGUCAUCCUUGCGUGUAUCCCCCAAAUUUUCGCCAUCGUUGUCUUUAUCAUCCAUGUCGUUAUGCUGCCAACGAAAACAUAUAGUCAAUGUUAUAGAUGGAUAGCAUAAGUAAUAAUUAUGCACUACUCUCCUUAAAUAAUUGAUUUAAGUUUUCAUAUCGGAUUCAUGUAUCUAACCAAGUCCUUCAAAAUCUGUAAGUAAGUAUAAAAUAUGCCCUGACUGAAUCCAUAAAUAUUUAAUUGAUUGUACUUGCUGUAACUGAUGAUCUCCUAACUAAAUCCAAAGUCCACAAAUCCUUCAAGUCCCCUGAUAGAUCCACCCUGAUUGAUCAAUUAUCUCCAAACUCCAUUCAAAUUUUUCUCCUAACUAAAUCCAAAAUUAUGACCUAAGUAAAUCCAAAUUAUCUCCUAACUAAAUCCAAAAUAACUCCAAACUCCCUACAAAAAUAUUUGUCUCCUAACUAAAUCCAAAAUAUCUCGCAACUCAAUUCAAAAGUAUCUCCUAACUAAAUCCAAAAUAACUCCAAACUCCCUACAAAAAUAAUUAUCUCCUAACUAAAUCCAAAAUAUCUCGAAACUCAAUUCAAAAGUAUCUCCUAACUAAAUUCAAAAUAACUUUCUUUGAAUCCAAAUCUGCUGACAACUUUCUCAUGCCACAUAACCCUAACUAACUCCAUCAAUAUGUCCUAUGCAGAAGGGACGAGACAAGAUGAGAGAUUGCAGCGGCACUUACAUCUCAGAGGUGGUUGCGAAGAUCCGACGGGAUGGACAGCGAUGACGAUGAUCUGGCCUCGCGUCAGGGAAGGGGCGUCCAAUCGGGGACGGAGGGGAUUAGGCUGCUCGUCGGAAGAUCUGGCGCCACAUAACCCGAGGGGGAUCGCCUCCGAGCGAGGGGGUGGAGGAGGAGAAGGAGAAGGAGGGACUGGUGCGAGGGAGGGGGUGAAGGGGGAGAAGGAGGAGGAGGGAGUGGCAUGACGUGAUAGGGUUCAAGAGGAGCUGACGAACCACUCUGACGCAAUUCAAGUGUUAUGUUAAUGCAAUUAUUAAUUUGAAAUUUUAGGACAAAAAUGCCCCUAGACUUAAUUGGGCCACCCUAAACUUUAAUAUUCUUAGGUCGAAAAUGCUCUUGGGCUUUAAUAAGGCCCAAUUGAUAUCAUCUGUUGGAUCGCUUAUAUAAUACACGUGUUGUCGUAUAUUAUAAUGUGCCGUAAAAUCUCCCUCUUAAUUAAUUUUUUUUGGGACAAACAAGCAGGCGAUGAAUGUCGAAUAGCCAUAUGGUAAUGUACGCCGGACGAAGACAGAAGAAGAUGGACAAAAGACAUUGUGGUUAUGAUGCGAAACACCAUGAUCAUCGAACAAUCUGUAUGUUGGCCUCCAUUUAACUUAAUUUAAACUGGACUCGGCACGUACCGACAAACCUUAUAUCAGUAUACUACAACCACAUUUAAACUGGACUCGGAACAUGCCCAUAACUUAAUUUAAACUUGAUAUAUUACUAGAAAUAGUUAAGAAUUAAAUGAGUUCUAAAAUUGUGUGAGUAGAGAUAAGAUCAAUUGUGGUAGAUGCAAUAUUUUACUUGAUGUUCUUGUUUUCUUUCCAUGGGUGUUGCUUCAUUUCAGUUCAUUUGCGGCAUGAUUUGACAAUCGAUUGGCUCUGGCUAUCAAUGAUUGGCAAAAAAUUCUUUGGACUACAUCUUAGUCAAGAAUAGUGAACCGUCGCAAACACGAGAGGGCAUAAAGAUAUUUGAUCUUCAUAUGGGUCACGCGUAUUGACGAAUUUUAGUGUGGGCUAGAGACUUUUAGUUAAGUCUCUUCCCUCACCCCCAAUAAGAAAGUUAAUCUAGCAACAAGGAUAAUCAUACUUGAUUAUGGACGCAGGUAGCUAGUGUUCUCCGAAACCCUAGAAGCCACGUAAUUUAAAUCUGCCAAACAGAUUAGAGGACGCCUAACUUGAUUUUGCGGGAUACAUGUCAUGUUGUAUAAUCUUCGUCAUGAUAAUGAGUUUAUGUAUGAGAUGGCUACAUAAUGUAGCAUUAGAUGACAUACACGUCAUAAUACGAAAUGAUGGUUGGGGCCAAGGGAUUUUCACUUUAAUUACGAGUGUGUCAACUUUGUUAUUUUAUUUUUAUCGACUGGAGUGAUGGACGUGCUACGGAGGAGCCCAGAGUAAGGUGGCUUUACUAGGCGCAAGAGAUCAUGGUGGUGGCUACGACAUCACUCUAGAGUAGUUCAUGAAGACCUUGGAGGAUCAUGACCACAUCCCCGACGCCAAGGGCUAUAUUAUAUCAUUGUAUUAUGAAUAGACUGAUAUGUUUAUCCCAUUGUUGUUUGCACCCUUUGAUUGUGCGGUAGUCAAUUAUUAGGGUGACCUCACACUAGAAAGCAUCAAGUUGUUAGUGCUCUUCCUAGUGUAGCAACCAUCUAUAACACGUAGCUUUUCGUGGUACGUCAUGUCCACAUGAGUACUUUGGAUCGCGGGUGUAAGGCGGGUGAAGGCAUGGCAGAAACACUUAGUUGUCUUGAAGUUCUAGUAAAAUCAUUGUGCACAAAGCAUCGAAAAACAAACAAGAGUCACAUGGAGAUAUGAUCGGCAAAAUUUGCCUACCUCUUGAAGUUCACGUCAUCAGUGAUGCCCACAUCAAUGGUUGUGAAUAAUAUUAGGGUCUUGAAUCACUUAAAUCAAUUAUGAGAGAUAUUGGUUUGAGUGAGAGCACAAUUAUGAAUUAAUUAAGUUUAAUCAUAAGUGCAUAUAAUUAUGGGUUAACUUAAGCGAAAUUAGAAGGACACAUCUUAAAGCGAAACUAUCGGUUAACUUCUUCUUGAGCUAGCUCCUUUCUCCUUGUUGUUUUUUCUCCCUUGAUAUUUCCCUAUGAUAUUUCAAUACAAGGUCAAUUUUGGUACCAGUGUAAUAGAAAAUAGAGUGUAUUGGAAAAAAUAGCGGAAAUAAUUUCAUCACCUAGGGAUAUUUUAGUAGCUCUUAAAAUAGAACAUUAGAAGGAUAAUUAUUUAUUAUGUGUAUGAGAUAGGAAAAUUUACCAUAUGGCAGGUGUAUAGUCUAUAUUUCCUAAUUUUGCAUCUUCCUUCAUUGACUCACUGGUGAGGCGUGCAUGAUUGUGUCUUUCAGCCCCAUCUUAAUUCAUCCUAUUGCGUCAGAUAUCCAGGGACCAUCGUGUAUGUAGUGUGUCAUCCUGAAGGAAGGGAUUACAAAUUUAGAGCAAGUUCUGAAAAGUGACGGUGUAUAAUUGUAAUACUUAAAAUAAACAAAUGCAUGUUCUAACAUGCCGAAAGAAGGCACUAAAAAGUAUAUAGUUCUUCCUUUGUGUUUCCGUAGCCAAGUUUAGCCCAAGGUUCAAAAAAAAUAUAACGCAAUUCACUACGACAAUAGAAGAAAUGUUGAAGAGUACAAUUACAACUCUAAAAUUGAACCUAUUCAUAAGCAUGUGACAAUUGUAGGCUCAUAAGAGAAAUAAUAGAUGAGAAGAACAACCAAGUCAAAUUUAGGUAGAUUUUAAAACUAGGUAAAUAGGAACUUGCAAUGUAAUAUAAAAAUUGCAGACAAUGAUGAAGAUGAAGGAACCUUAUUGAUCAAAGAAGACAUUUAGGAUCAAAUGCAACUUGACACCAUGCAUGAUGAAGCAUUAGGUGAAAGCGGCGCAUUUUUCGGAUAAUCCAUGUUGCAUUCCAAUAGUUACAAAACAUAAAUAGUGAUGCCAAAUUGGGAUGAAAAAUGAGAAAAAGAAAUAGUUGUGAGAGGUCUUUGUAUUUGCACUUCACGUACUACCUUCGUACUUGUGUAAACUGGUCAUCUUUAAACAUGAUCAACUCCCAACACUGUAUGACCAAUCAUGCCAACUGCAUUGCAACUUGUUCUCGUGUCUCCUCUUACUUCACAUUUCACUUACUCCCUCCAUCUCGGUUUAUAAGUCUUCCUAGGUUGUGCACCGUAACCAAGACGGAAAGUAAAACAAGAGAAAUUAAUGUUAACUUGCUAAUUAAUACGAUUGCAUGCAAUGAAUUGACUAAUGCAUGUCGUGCUAGUUAGUAUCAAGUCAUUAAAAACACACAUGUCCCCCGUCUCUUAUUGGUUGAUUUUUUUAUUCAAGUCAAAAAAACAAACGAGGUGAAAGUUAAUGUAUUGUGCCUUAGUGUUUUGGGAUUAUUUGAUUUUCGUAAGAUAACUUAUAAAUCGAGAUGGAGGAAGUACUAAAUUUAUCAAGCAUGGAAUUUAUGUUAUGUAAUGAGCAUUUUUAUAGUCAGAAAAAGAUUUUUUAGUCAAACAUACGAAUGGUAGACUUUUGGUGCACCUUUAAAGAUCAUUAAUGCGAAAUACCAUAGGAAUUCGGUCUUUUAUGGUCUUUUGUGUUAGUUUUCGGUCACACAAAGAGAUCGUUGUAAUGUCCUCCUCCUUCUGGUGCACUGGCAUUUGGUCUGGCGUCUGCCGAAACCGACUUAUCCAUGGACUUGUUUUAUGGGCACGGAAGAAACACAAAAGGUUGAUUUUUUUUUUCUAGUUUAAAAGAAAAGGUUGAUUUUUUCCUUUUUAUAGAACUUCAUUCAACACAAAAUAGCAAGCUGUUUUGAUGCACCUUUCCGUUCGUAAAGGAUGACGAGGCAUCAAUCAUCUCAUUUUUUCCAGCUUUAAAUAAACUAUGAAGAUCGGCUGGGCUAGCAAAUCCACUAGCAUGGGCACCGACCACUAAUAAUGGGCCAAAGCAUUUGUCUAAGUUUAUACUUCCUCCAUCCCUUUAUACAAGGCCAUCAUGAAAGAUAUAUUUUACAUACAUCUAUAUAAAGCUACUAACAGUUAGUAAGGCAAAAAUUAAUGUUGUUCUCUUGUAGUAACAACUUACUCCCUCCAUUCCUUUAUGAACUAACAGUUAGUAAGGUAAAAAUUAAUGUUGUUCUCUUGUAGUAACAACUUACUCUCUUCAUUUCUUUAUGAAAGGUCUAUUAUUUUCGCGCAUAAUUAUACAUGUUAAGACAAAAUUAACCUUGGCUAAAUCAUUGAUUAGAGGCAAUAAAAUUAUUUAGGCUAGAAAAGUAAGAGAUACACAUGAGAGAUUCUUUCCUUCUUCUCUUUAUAAUAAGAGAUGCAUGCAAUCAGAGGAGAGAUAUUUCUUUUUUUAAGGGCUAAUGAUGGAAUUACAAAGAAUUAGAAGAAAUGCACCUUACAUUGUGAAAUUUUAUCAAAAAACAAAUACACCUUAUAAAGGUUCCUUUAUGAAAGGUGUAUUAUUUUCGCGCAUAAUUAUACAUGUUAAGAUAAAAUUAACCUUGGCUAAAUCAUUGAUUAGAGGCAAUAAAAUUAUUUAGGCUAGGAAAGUAAGAGAUACACAUGAGAGAGAUUCUUUCCUUCUUCUCUUUAUAAUAAGAGGUGCAUGCAAUCAGAGGAGAGAUUUCUUUUUUUAAGGGCUAAUGAUGAAAUUACAAAGAAUUAGAAGAAAUGCACCUUACAUGUGAAAUUUUAUAAAAAAAUAAAUACACCUUAUAAAAAGGAACAGAGGGAGUAUUUAAUAAGUACUACAUGUAGUCAUAAUGACACAUAGUUUUUUUCCUUCUCAUUCCUUUCUUGAAUAAUGGUCCUGGUUAAUGAAAAAGAAAAUUUGAUUUACAAAACAGUCAUUAAUUUUUACCUUGUUAAAUAUGAGUUUGUGGCUUUUAUAGAGGAAUGGAGGGAGUAGCGGAUAUUUUGUCUGUUGGUGUGGCAAUGCGACGUAAUCCGUAAAUGCUAAAAUGCCGGCCUACCAACUACCCCUCCGGGAUAAAGAUUUCGAUGGUCCCAGUGGCUGCUUAUGGUGUGCCGCGUGCCCCGUGUGUCCCUCGUUGAAACGGGCCGGUGAUCUAACACUGAAGCAGCAGCAAUUAGCACAGAGCAUACAAGGCAUCAGAUUUGAGCAAGACGACUAUAUUACCGAAGAGCAAUACAAGAUACAGUGGUCAGUGGACACUGUGACACUACUGAGCCCAGUGGGGUACCAGCCACAGCACACUUCCGACUUAACCUGACGCGACUCACCGUAGAGUACCAACUGACUACCAGCUACGAUUCUACGAAGCACACAUGACCAUACUACGUACGAUCGCCUACGUGCGCCUGAACUACUACAUUAUUCGGUGCAUGGACACUAGGGUAAACCAACGGCCGACCUAAGCAGAGUCGUCUUGCUUGCUAGGCUACGUACGCACUGGUCGAUUCAUCAUCUAGGACUUAGUCUUGAACUUGGACUCG